UACGUAGGGUGCGAGCGUUGUCCGGAAUUAUUGGGCGUAAAGAGCUUGUAGGCGGUUUGUCGCGUCUGCUGUGAAAAUCCGGGGCUCAACCCCGGACUUGCAGUGGGUACGGGCAGACUAGAGUUCGGUAGGGGAGAAUGGAAUUCCUGGUGUAGCGGUGAAAUGCGCAGAUAUCAGGAGGAACACCGGUGGCGAAGGCGGGUCUCUGGCGCAUACUGACGCUGAGGAGCGAAAGCGUGGGGAGCGAACAGG
rnacentral:rRNA from 1 species